UUCACCAACCCAUUACCAAAGUACUGGCGCUCUCGACCUGCAGGUAGGGAAUUUCAGCAGUAAAAUGGUGGUUAAAGUUCCUUGUUUCUAAUGUUUAUGCCAUGUUUUCAUAUUGAAACAAAGUGAUACUAUGCAACUAAUGCCUUCGCAGAGUAUUACAGUUGUUCGGAGCAAUCUUCAUCUUCUUCGAUAAUUAAGAAACCUUUCGGCCAAAGACAGAUAGACAUAGGUUACUGGGCAUUAUGGCAUGGAAAUCUGGCCUGUGGUUUGGAAUAUUAGUCGUUAUGUUCGGCUACAUCAGUGGCGAUUACGGUAAUAUAAAAGAAAUUAAGCAAUUGAUUGUUCUAGUUAAUGAGACUUACACAGGAGUCAUCAGAUAUUUCAACGUUUCUGUUACAAAUACCGUUGAAACGUAUGUAAUUGCGACCGCAAAUUACAGCCAGAUUACAAACCAAUCAUCUGGCGUAGCAGGAUUUUACUUGAAUGGAUCUUUGGGAAAUUGUAACAUGUGUUCUGUAUAUAUCAAUGUAAAGAAUGUUACAAAUAUAACUUGUGGACCUGAUUGGAACCUCUUUCCUUCGUGCUUACUGCAAUCACAUUAUGCGUGUGAUACCCUCUACGCCAUUCUGAAUAAUGCUACGGGCUGCCCCAACGAAGUAAAUAAAGCUCCCACCUGUGGUUCACCUACAAACUCAUCGACCACUUCCCCUGGAAUGAGCAAUACAACCAGUACUUCAAGUACCAGUAGCGCAAGUACAACCAGCACACUGAUGAGUCCAAGUAAAAACCUCACAGCUAGUCCAAUGAAAAUUACUGACGGAUUCGUAAAAGCUAAAGAUAUUGUUAAUUUCGUGAACAAUCUAACUUCACUGAUGAAUGAAAUGGGAAAUGCCACUCUAGCAGCUGUCUACAUGGGAGUGGUGAAGGGAAUCAUUGACGUUAUUCCCAAGGAAACAAAUCCAGAAGACAUGACGUAUAUCUUGACCAACAACAGCGAUUUUGCUAAAAUAUACGGCGGCACGAGUGUAAACGUCCUGAAUUCAUUUAUGAUCCCAGCUGAAGCGAUUGAUAUCGCUCAGAAAGACAACAACAAGUCUUUUAUAGGGAUUCUUCGUUCUCCACCCAUGAUCGAGGAUCAAGAUAGACAGAACAUUUUAAAUUCUGAGAUUUUUGCGAUUGAAAUGGGAACCCACAUAUCUAACCUUUCACAUACGAUAAACAUUACAUACACAAACCUUUCCAAGGUGAACGGAAAUCUCACUUGCUGUUCGUGGAAUGGAACAGGUACUCCCCAUAUCCUUUGUAAUGAGCAAAUGAGCCAGUUUGCUUGUUCUCCAUAUCACAUCUGCAUCUUAAAAAAUGGGUAGAACUGAACUCAGCUCAAACAAUGACGUCAAACUUUAGAAAUCGGCCUAGAAAUACAUAACCGAGAUGGGGAAGUGUGUGGCUCGGCACGUUAAAGCUGGUUCUCACCUCAUGCGGAUACAUCACUUUCACCAUGUGCGCUUGUGUACAGACUAUAUUUGUCUGUGGACGUAGAUGGUCGCAGUUGGUGGAUGUGUAAAGCAAGGAUAUUCCACCAGAUCUGGACAGGGCAGACAAAUACCAGAAGUAUAGUGAAAUUAGUGAACUUUUCUGAACAAUAAAGUUGGCACUAGGCUUGGGCUGUAUUAUGGUAAUAUAGCAUACGGCGGUAUUUUGAAUCCUUGCGACAUAAUUCAGUGGGUGGGUGACUCGAGUCAUAUAACUUGAAUCUGACUCAAAUCUCUUUUUUUUUUUUACUUGAGAAUUGCUUUCCAAUUUAUAAAAACACUGGAUUUGCAAAGUCACACAUUCUAUCACUGCAUUUAAUAUUAGUUUCUACCUUGAUUUUCCCAUCCUCAGCAACUUCACAAUUGUGAUUCUGGCUGGUUUCAUAAGAGCCUUAACAAUGCUGUGCUAGGUGCAUCCAUAAACAACAAAUGCUACAACACAUCCACAAAAUGGCCAACACACCAACAAAACGGGCAACACACCCACAAAAUAGGCAACACACCAACAAAACGGGCAACACACCCACAAAAUGGGCAACACACCAAUAAAACGAGCAACACACCCACAAAAUGGGCAACACAAGGGAUUUGUUGGUGAACGCAGCAUCCAUGCUAAAAAUCAUAAACUUUGGUUACUCAGAUUUUUAUAAAGACGAAAUAGAAAAAUGACAGCAGUCUAAAAAAAAUCUCUCAUGUAAUUUGUCACUGUACUUUCAUUAGAACUGUUUUAGAUGUGAAUUUCUGAACACUUAAAAUUCAAAUAUUAAUACAUGUAGAAAUAAUCAGAAAUAAAAUUGAUCAGUUUUUUAAAUUAAUCAGUGUAAUUAAAUGCAUUAAAUUAGGAUUAUUCACUAUUACCUUUAUCAUAGUUAGUGAUGGUGAAAUUACUUGAAAACUGAGCAUGAUUUAACAUGGUUUGCGUAAUGAUAAACAUGAUUUGAGCCUUGACUUGAAGCUUGAUGGUUUGGACUUGUGACAUGUGUAUAUGUGACUAGUUCCAUGUCUGACAAACUUAGCCGGAACCCACCCCAGCAAGACUGCAAUAUUUUAAAAUGCCUGAAUGGUCAACCUUUUGAAAAAAGCAUAUAUGUUGGUAUAAUGUCUGAACAGUAUAAAAAAUUAACGUGGGUACCUCCACACUUCCUCACAUAGCUGCUAACCCUAACUGUAAAUACCACAACAACAACAACUAUUCUUCUACUCUUUCUUUGUUGACCACAGUGAAAGUCAGUGCUGCCACCUACUGGAAACACCUAGUCCAUUUCCUUGUCAUGCACAGUCAGUCCAGGGAUGCUUAUAAUGUCCACCAGAUAUAAAAAUCCAGGCUGCAUGUAGAAAGGUGAAUUAUGAAUUGGCCAAUUGGAUACUGUGAUUGGAAGGCCGCUGGUUCAAAUCCCGAGCUUAGCAAAGUGAUUUUACCACUGGGCCCUUGAGAAGGGCCCUUAACAACAAUUGUUCCAGAGACUGACUGACCUUACUUUCGCAAUCGUACGUGACUUUGAAUAAUAAUUUUAAAAACUGCUAAAUAAAUAUAAAUGCUAUCUUUAUUUAACAGAGCAGCUACAAAUAAAAGAUCCUUUUGUAAUGUUACAAUGGAUUUGCCAGUCGUAAAAACAAGCGUAAAAAUCCACAUGAUUGUUAUGCUGUAUGAUUCAUACGCCGUAGAUUAGUGUGCUUUGUGUAACAGGAGAACCAAGUUGGCAACCGGACGGCUGUUACGGUGAAGAAAUAAACAACACAUUUGUGUGCAGGUGCACGCACUUGACAUUUUUUGCUGUACUAAUGGUGAGUUCAUUUUAAUACUAGAAGCUACAGUUGUACCCCUAACACAUAUGUAACUUGUAAUACAUUGUACCAUUUUAUGUAUCUCUGAUAUCUUUCGUUAAAAUUUUAACCUGUUUUUACAGCUGGGUUAGUGAAGCACAGCUUAAGCCUGCCAAGGGACUUAAUCCUACACCCUAAUGCAGGGGUACUCAAAUGAAACACAAUGUAAUCCGGACCAUGCAGCCCUCAGAGAACAAUAAUUGAGUACCCCUGCCCUGGUGCCUCCGGUUUAGCAAGCAUUACCUGUUCCCACAGUAUAGGAGAAUAUUCUAUAUUCUAGCUGUAUCUUCCCAAUGCUUCUGUACAUCCAUAAUGCACAAAAAAGUUAAGCUGUUAUGAUCUUUUAUGCAUGUUAUAUUUUUAUUAUAUUUUAUUUGCCCGUUGGCCAUGGUCUUAAACAGAUGUUUUCUGGAAUCUCCUAGAGCAACCCUGUGAAAAUAAGUAGCUCCGACGUGAUAAAAUUGACCUACAUCACAUACAUUGGCUGCGGAGUGUCCACAUUCUUCUUGGGCAUCGCACUGUUCAUGCAUGCCACUCUGAGGUACUUCUGGGGGUACCUCUGGU